AGUGAACGCUGGCGGCGUGCUUAACACAUGCAAGUCGAACGAGAACGGAUUAUAGCUUGCUAUAAUUGUCAGCUAAGUGGCGCACGGGUGAGUAAUGUAUAGAUAACCUGCCCUCUAGAAAGGAAUAACAGUUGGAAACGACUGCUAAUGCCCUAUAUGCCUUUAAUAAAUUAGUAUGCAAGGGAAACGCUUUAGUGCUAGAGGAUGGGUCUGUAUGGUAUCAGCUAGUUGGUGAGGUAAUGGCUCACCAAGGCUAUGACGCCUAACUGGUUUGAGAGGAUGAUCAGUCACACUGGAACUGAGACACGGUCCAGACUCCUACGGGAGGCAGCAGUGGGGAAUAUUGCACAAUGGACGAAAGUCUGAUGCAGCAACGCCGCGUGGAGGAUGACACAUUUCGGUGCGUAAACUCCUUUUAUAUAGGAAGAUAAUGACGGUACUAUAUGAAUAAGCACCGGCUAACUCCGUGCCAGCAGCCGCGGUAA
rnacentral:rRNA from 1 species